UGCUCAUGGUGUACAAAGAAAAGACGCCUCAAAGCGUCACCAAAAGGAUGAGUCCGCCCCCCCAUUAGCUAGUUGGUGAGAUAACAGCUCACCAAGGCAUCGAUGGGUAGCCGAGCUGAGAGGUUGAUCGGCCACACUGGAACUGAGACACGGUCCAGACACCUACGGGUGGCAGCAGUAGGGAAUAUUGCGCAAUGGGCGAAAGCCUGACGCAGCGAUGCCGCGUGAGUGACGAAGGUCUUAGGAUUGUAAAGCUCUUUUCUGAGGGAAGAAUAGGUCUGCGAGGAAAUGCGCGGAUUCUGACGGUACCUCAGGAAUAAGGAACGGCUAACUCCGUGCCAGCAGCCGCGGUAAUACGGAGGUUCCAAGCGUUGUUCGGAAUUACGUGGGCGUAAAGGGAGCGCAGGCGGACAGGUCAGUUUAAAG
rnacentral:rRNA from 1 species